rnacentral:rRNA from 1 species
CCUUNGGGGGGGGGUGCAGUAGGGAAUCUUCCGCAAUGGACGAAAGUCUGACGGAGCAACGCCGCGUGAGUGAUGAAGGUUUUCGGAUCGUAAAGCUCUGUUGUUAGGGAAGAACAAGUACCGUUCGAAUAGGGCGGUACCUUGACGGUACCUAACCAGAAAGCCACGGCUAACUACGUGCCAGCAGCCGCGGUAAUACGUAGGUGGCAAGCGUUGUCCGGAAUUAUUGGGCGUAAAGGGCUCGCAGGCGGUUUCUUAAGUCUGAUGUGAAAGCCCCCGGCUCAACCGGGGAGGGUCAUUGGAAACUGGGGAACUUGAGUGCAGAAGAGGAGAGUGGAAUUCCACGUGUAGCGGUGAAAUGCGUAGAGAUGUGGAGGAACACCAGUGGCGAAGGCGACUCUCUGGUCUGUAACUGACGCUGAGGAGCGAAAGCGUGGGGAGCGAACAGGAUUAGAUCCCCSCGGGWAGYCA